GAUGAACGCUGGCGGCGUGCCUAAUACAUGCAAGUCGAGCGAACGGACGAGAAGCUUGCUUCUCUGAUGUUAGCGGCGGACGGGUGAGUAACACGUGGAUAACCUACCUAUAAGACUGGGAUAACUUCGGGAAACCGGAGCUAAUACCGGAUAAUAUUUUGAACCGCAUGGUUCAAAAGUGAAAGACGGUCUUGCUGUCACUUAUAGCUGGAUCCGCGCUGCAUUAGCUAGUUGGUAAGGUAACGGCUAACCAAGGCAACGAUGCUUAGCCGACCUGAGAGGGUGAUCGGCCACACUGGAACUGAGACACGGUCCAGACUCCUACGGGAGGCAGCAGUAGGGAAUCUUCCGCAAUGGGCGAAAGCCUGACGGAGCAACGCCGCGUGAGUGAUGAAGGUCUUCGGAUCGUAAAACUCUGUUAUUAGGGAAGAACAUAUGUGUAAGUAACUGUGCACAUCUUGACGGUACCUAAUCAGAAAGCCACGGCUAACUACGUG
rnacentral:rRNA from 1 species